AUAUGUGUGGCCUGGCAGGGGGAAAUACCACAAUCAAGACGGUGGUUUCUCCAGUGUAAGGAUCUUCUGUUGCACUUUUGUUGAGUUGACCCCUGUGAUGUCUGCAAAUAUGGAAAACUCACAUGCAUAAUUUAUGGUACUGGGGUACUAUGUUUGCACAUUUAUUUA